GUUCAGACAAGCAGAGUCGAAACUGUAAAUUACGUUUGGAUUUUUCAUCCUGUGCUUUGCAUAAUCGAUGGCGCUUUUGAGUGGCCUGUCUAUUGUAAGCCUGCUUUGCCUUACACACGGAUAUUACUAUGUCUCACUUCCAAAAUACGUCUCCCCUGGUACGCCCCUGAACGUAGUAGUCCACGUGACCCAGUCUGGAAGCCCUGUAUCCUUUCUGGCAGAAAUUGUAGCU